rnacentral:tRNA from 1 species
AGGGCAUCGGUGGACCUCCUUACAAAGGCUGAUGAGGGUGUGCGGUGUGCCCAACAAAUUGUCUGAUGAAAAAAACGAGGAGAAAUACCUUAUUAGGCUUGUAGCUGAGGUGGUUAGAGCGCACCCCUGAUGAGGGUGAGGUCGGGGGUGGAAGUCCACUCAUGCCUACCAAAUUCUUUCCCCUGCGGCGCUGUGCUUUCCGGCGAAUACGAGGGUAUCCAAGUCCCUUGAUCGCCUCAUGCUGAAAAAAAAUUGAAAAAUCUAUUACCAAAUAUCAGGGAGAAGAAAAUUUCCCCUCGGGGGGCUAUUGAUCUGCCGAUAAAACGCCUGAUUAGCCGCAAACAUGUUUGUUGUUGUAUUCUACCCUCCUCCUUUGUGUAACUCUUAUUUUGUUUUUUGUGCGUAUCUUUCUUUCCCUUUAUUAUCCUCCUCCUUUUAAUUCUUUUUUACUUCUCUUUCUUUCUUCCCUUUUCCCUCUCCCCCCCUUUUUCCGUCCCUUUCAUUUUUUUCCUCUCUUUCCCUUUUUUCUUUCUCUCUUUUCUCCUUUUCCCCCUUUUUCCCUUUUCCUACUACUUCACCCUAUAAUUUUUAAAACUUUACCC